AUUGAACGCUGGCGGCAGGCCUAACACAUGCAAGUCGAGCGGGCCGCGGACGGGUGAGUAAUGUAUGGGGACUGCCCGAUAGAGGGGGAUAACUACUGGAAACGGUUGCUAAUAACGCCUACUAUCGGCUACCCCAUAUGGGAUUAGCUAGUAGGUGGGGUAAAGGCUCACCUAGGCGACGAUCUCUAGCUGGUCUGAGAGGAUGAUCAGCCACACUGGGACUGAGACACGGCCCAGACUCCUACGGAGGCAGCAGUGGGGAAUAUUGCACAAUGGGCGCAAGCCUGAUGCAGCCAUGCCGCGUGUAUGAAGAAGGCCUUAGGGUUGUAAAGUACUUUCAGCUGGGAGGCGUUACCAGCAGAAUAAGCACCGGCUAACUCCGUGCCAGCAGCCGCGGUAAUUC
rnacentral:rRNA from 1 species